rnacentral:rRNA from 1 species
UGGGGAAUUUUGGACAAUGGGCGAAAGCCUGAUCCAGCAAUGCCGCGUGUGUGAAGAAGGCCUUCGGGUUGUAAAGCACUUUUGUCCGGAAAGAAAUCCUUGGCUCUAAUACAGUCGGGGGAUGACGGUACCGGAAGAAUAAGCACCGGCUAACUACGUGCCAGCAGCCGCGGUAAUACGUAGGGUGCAAGCGUUAAUCGGAAUUACUGGGCGUAAAGCGUGCGCAGGCGGUUUGCUAAGACCGAUGUGAAAUCCCCGGGCUCAACCUGGGAACUGCAUUGGUGACUGGCAGGCUAGAGUAUGGCAGAGGGGGGUAGAAUUCCACGUGUAGCAGUGAAAUGCGUAGAGAUGUGGAGGAAUACCGAUGGCGAAGGCAGCCCCCUGGGCCAAUACUGACGCUCAUGCACGAAAGCGUGGGGAGCAAACAGGAUUAGAUACCCUGGUAGUCCACGCCCUAAACGAUGUCAACUAGUUGUUGGGGAUUCAUUUCCUUAGUAACGUAGCUAACGCGUGAAGUUGACCGCCUGGGGGAGUACAGUCGCAAGAUUAAAACUCAAAGGAAUUGACGGGGUCAUAGCUGUUUCCU